ACGGUGGUGGCUGGUUCUGCGCCGGAUCCGGGAGUCGGGCGGACGCCAUUGUGAUUCGGGGCCGACUUUUCUGCCUCUGUUAGAGGCCUCGAACUCCGAGGAGGAAGGCGGCGGUGUGAUCGCUGGAAGCGGGACGGGCCCUGUUCAGUGCCAGCUCUGGAGCAGGGGAAACAUUAAGAAUGGAGUCUAAACCUUCAAGGAUUCCAAGAAGAAUUUCUGUUCAACCCUCUAGCUCUUUAAGUGCUAGGAUGAUGUCUGGAAGCAGAGGAAGUAGUUUAAAUGAUACCUAUCACUCAAGGGACUCUUCGUUUAGACUGGAUUCUGAAUAUCAGUCUACAUCAGCAUCAGCAUCUGCAUUACCAUUUCAGUCUACAUGGUAUAGUGAGUCUGAGAUAACUCAGGGAGCACGUUCAAGAUCGCAAAACCAGCAACGGGAUCAUGAUUCAAAAAGACCUAAACUUUCCUGUACAAACUGUACAUCUACCUCAGCUGGGAGAAGUGUUGGACAUGGUUUAAAUGCAGUAUCAGAUUCUUCUUGGAGGCAUAGUCAAGUUCCCAGAUCGUCAUCAGUGGUACUUGGAUCAUUUGGAACUGACUUAAUGAGAGAGAGGAGAGCAGAUUCCUCCAUUAGUAAUCUUAUGGAUUAUAGUCACCGAAGUGGUGAUUUCACAACUUCAUCAUAUGUUCAAGACAGAGUUCCUUCUUCAUAUUCACAAGGAGCAAGACCAAAAGAGAACUCUUUGAGCACUUUACAAUUGAAUACAUCAUCUACAAAUCACCAAAUGCCUUCUGAACAUCAGACCAUACCAUGUUCUAGGGACUCUGGUAGAAAUUCUUUAAGAUCAAAUUUUUCUCCAAGAGAAUUAGAAUCUCCCCAAAGCAGUAUACAGCCUGGAUUUUCUUAUAUUUCAAAUAGAGGUGAAACCUCAACUAUAGGCAGUUCAAAUAGGGUUGGCUCAUCUCAAAGAUCAUUUCAAGAAUCUUCUGACAAUGAAGGUAGGCGUACAACAAGGAGAUUGCUGUCACGUAUAGCUUCUAGUAUGUCAUCUACUUUUUUUUCACGAAGGUCUAGUCAGGAUUCCUUGAAUACAAGAUCAUUGAGUUCUGAGAAUUCUUACAUUUCUCCAAGAAUCUUGACAGCUUCACAGUCUCGUAAUGCAGCAUCAGCUUCUGAUGGUCCUGAUAACAGGGCAUCCGAAGCUUCUCAGGGAUUUCGAUUUCUUCGGCGAAGAUGGGGUUUGUCAUCUCUUAGCCAAAAUCAUAGCUCUGAGCCAGAUUCCCAAAAUUUUAACCAAGAAUCUGAAGGUAGAAAUACAGGACCAUGGUUAUCUUCCUCACUUAGAAAUAGAUGCACACCUUUGUUCUCUAGAAGGAGGCGAGAGGGACGAGAUGAAUCUUCAAGGAUAUCUACCUCUGAUAUACCAUCUAGAUCUCAUCAUAUUUUUAGAAGAGAAUCAAAUGAAGUGGUUCACCUUGAAGCACAGAGUGAUCCCCUUGGGGCUACUGCCAGCAGACCACAAGCAUCUGCAGCACCAAGCAGUGCUGCUACGGGUGGCUCCAUAUCGGAUUCGGCUCACGGUGGACGAAGUACAGGAAUAACAGGGAUCCUUCCUGGUUCCUUAUUCCGAUUUGCAGUGCCCCCGGCACUUGGAAGUAAUUUGACCGACAAUGUCAUGAUCACUGUAGAUAUUAUUCCUUCAGGUUGGAGUUCAUCUGAUGGAAAAAAUGAUAAAACUAAAAGUGUACCCUCAAGAGACCCAGAAAGACUGCAAAAAAUAAAAGAGAGCCUCCUUUUAGAGGACUCUGAAGAAGAAGAAGGUGAUUUAUGUAGAAUUUGUCAGAUGGCAGCUGCAUCAUCCUCUAACUUGCUGAUAGAGCCAUGCAAGUGCACAGGAAGUUUGCAAUAUGUCCACCAAGAGUGUAUGAAAAAAUGGUUACAGGCCAAAAUUAACUCUGGUUCUUCGCUAGAGGCUGUAACCACCUGUGAACUCUGUAAAGAGAAGUUGCAGCUUAACCUGGAGGAUUUUGAUAUUCAUGAACUACAUAGAGCUCAUGCAAAUGAACAAGCUGAGUAUGAGUUUAUCAGCUCUGGUCUCUACCUAGUUGUGUUACUGCACUUGUGCGAACAAAGCUUUUCUGAUAUGAUGGGAAAUACGAAUGAACCAAGCACACGUGUCCGAUUUAUUAACCUUGCAAGAACUCUUCAGGCACAUAUGGAAGAUCUCGAAAGUCCUCAUGGACCUUUAAUAGGCAGCCAGCUCCGCCAGCAGCUCCAAUCUCUUAAGAUCACGUUCCAGCUUUAGGACUUCUGCCUGGGCUCCUAUGUGAAGGCACUUAAUGCCCAAAUCUUUACAGGCAUCUGCACAGCUUACCCUCUUCUCAAAGUCCUACAACCUCCAGGGUGCUUCAUACCAGGUGGGCACAGAUAUUGGUGGCUCUGGAACAGUUCCUGGGAAUCCAAGAUUACCCUAUUGUGCUUUUUCACCCAAAGCAACUGGCAUCCCAUGAUCAGAUUCCAGUACACUCUUUGAAGUGUUUUUAUAUAUGUAUUCUCCAAUUGAUUAUCUUCUAUACUCAUCUUCAAAAUACUUGGACUGUUAACCUGUAGUGUGCAUAAUAUUUUUACCUCUAGAGAAAGCUUAGCAUCCUUUGAAGUAAGGUUUUUUUUAAGUUUUAAAAGGAUUAGAGGUACAACUGGGUAAUGCAUUUUCACAAUUUUAGUAUGUGUGGAAAUGGUAUAUAAAGGAAUCAAAUGGUAUAAUAAAGUGGGACUUCAUUAGUGUAAAUCUUUUUUUCCUUCAUUCCUUCUUAGUUCAGAUCCAUCAUGUUAGCUAGUACAAAGAUUAGUUCUGUCUUUUGUAAAUUAUAAUUGAUACUUUGUCAGAUGUGAUGAGAGUAAUUUGUUGCAGUGUACAUUUUGCCCAGAUUGCUUGUUUUUUUUCAACUAACAUUCUCAUUUAGAAUUUAGUUUUCUAAACAUAUAGGAGGGUCUACUCCCAACCUGUGAAUGAGAGGAAAAAGGUGAAGUUGAAAUAUAUACCCAGACUCAACUGAGAGUGAAAGAUGUGGGUGCUACAAGUUAACUUCUAAGUACUAGAGUAUUAAUACAUUCUGAAAAUUGGUUCUGACUGAAUUUUGUUCUGUAGAGUUAAUCCAAUAGAAAACAUGAGAAAUUCUCUGAAAAGCUAUUUUAUUUUUUAGUUUAACAUUUCUCCAUGAUAUUGCAUAAAAGUUAAGCAUAGGAUUUACUCUUCAUGAGCUAAGUAUAUGCUUGAUAUUUAUUUAAAGUGGAUUUUAAAUUUCUGCAAGGUAAAUAUAUGGAGAUUGAAGUUUCAUCUAUACGUGUUGCAUAAUUUUUUCUUGUUGAUUCCAUUUGCUGGUUGCCCUUAAAUUGUCCAGUAUUAAAUACAAGAAGAGUGUACAUUUAACCUUUCUGCCCUUGAUAAUAGGGGAAAUGCUGGUAGGAUGUUUAGUGAACUUCCGUUUUCCUUCACAUGCAGACAGUUACAUAGUCUUGUACUUACUGUGUCCUUCUUAAAGACGUUCGUGGAAGUUUUAUAUUAAACUCUUGAGCCACUAAUGACUUUAAAAUAAAUUGAGGUCGGACGUGUUGCGAGAGUGAUAAAUUUCUGACAAUGUGGAGGCAUAGGAAUAAUCUCAACAAAAGGUUUUUACUAAAUCCAAUUAUAUUAACUUAGGCUGUGUCUAUAUAAAGCUUUUUUGACUAGAGCUUUUUCUUGGCAUUGUAUAGACAUAGCUCUGAUGUAAAUUUCAAGAACACCCAUAACCUGUUAUUCUAUGUACAUUUUUUUCAUUCUCAUCGGAUACAUCAAACAUGCAGCGGUAAUAAGCCAGAUUCUACUCAGCUUCAGAGGAUGAUUCUGAAGAAGAUGGAGACCAUAACAGAACAUUUGAUAUUGCCUAACUUCACAUGAGACAAAUGGAUGAUCUGUGAACAGUGUUUAUUAAAACUGGCAAUUAAGUAUGAAUUAAUUUUCUGGGGAAAUACCUAUUGAAUACAUUUACUGUCUAUAUAUAUAUAGAAUGAAAAAAUAUAUAUAUAUACACACACAUAUUAUGCAUGUAUAUAUAUGUUCAUUCUCAAGUGUUGCUGAAUUAAAAUUCUGCUGGGCCUUUUAACAUGGCCAGUGAAUCUGAUGUUUAUAAACUGGUAAUUAAAAGUAUUUUUCUUUUAGAUGAGUGGGGAAAGUGUUACCCUUGUUUUAAAUAUCUAAGCAAUGCUGACAGCCCUUUUUUGUGUUGUGAUUACUGUAGUUAUAUUUAUGAAAAAAGGUUGGUGUUUUAGUCUCGUUAGUGAAAAAAGUGGGACAAAGUAUGCUUUUAGAAUAAAUUGCCAAAUGGCACCUAAUUAUUUUUCUUUUUAAAAUGCCUUAAGUUGCGGUCUCAUUUUCAUAAUCACUUGCUUCCAGUGUUUAAAAAAAAAAAAAGAAUGGGGAGAAAGUUAAGAGCAUUCAUUAUAUUAGAUUUCCAAAUUUAAUUUGAAUUCUAAAUUCACUUAGCAAUGGUCUAAUUUUUAAAAUAUAUAAAGUGUACAAAUGGAUAACUUUUUGUAUUGAUGUGCAAAAUGCAGAUUAUAUUUGAUAGGCCAUAGUAUGUAGAUAUUCCUUUUAGGAAUAUUACAGCUGUAAAUUAUAUCAGAAUUGCCAGUCAGAUGCUAUUUGGUUAAAAAUAUUAUUGCAGUCUCAAGUUAAAUAUUUUUAAAUCCCACAUUCAGAAUUUAAAACACUGGUUUUCAAUGUGUUUUUUAGUGUUGUCACUUCUUUAUAGAUAAAUAUGAUAUAAAUAACCUGUUUGGAUCCUGGUCGUUUUUAACUGUUCCUUGGUAAUUCUAAGCAUUUAUUUGAUGACUUAAUAUUUUUCACUACCUUUAGAGAAGAGAUGAACAUUAACUGUUCACCAUACUGUGGUCCUGAGUUGUGUAUAUGUCCAUAACACUGUAUAUUUUCUCUGUCAACACCCUUAGGAUACACUUAAAAACGCCUGCAGGUGGGUUUCAGGUUAAAUAAAGUCUUUUGUCCAGCUACUUUUUCAGAACCCAAAUAGAAACCAUGUAAUUUCUCACAUGUGAAUCAACAGUUUGCCCACAUUCAGUCAGAUUGUUGGUCUUAAUGUAAAACUUCGGCUUGAAAUAAAGUGCAUACUGAUUGAUUUACUUUA